UGAUAAUGGUAAGGGAAAUUUUUGAGCAUACUCUUAAAUAUCUCCCAAGCUUAGUAGAGGUUUUUUCCUUCUUUCUACCUAAAACUCAGAAUAUCACUUCUCAAACA
rfam:Capsicum annuum cultivar Zunla-1 chromosome 7, whole genome shotgun sequence